rnacentral:piRNA from 1 species
UAGUAGGAAAAUUAUAAAAUAUUACUAAGGC